rnacentral:misc_RNA from 1 species
AUUAUCGUCAUCUCGACGUGCUUCUCCCGUGAAGCUUAGCCGGCGGCUACUGGGAAUUGUAGACUAGCCGGGAAUUGAGGAUCGUUUGGUGGAGGAAACUAAAGGGACAAGAUGAAGGUUUUUGUGAAGACUUUGAAGGGUACAAACUUCGAGAUCGAAGUAAAACCUGAAGACACGGUCGCUGAUGUCAAGAAAAGCAUAGAGACGGUACAGGGUGCAGACAUUUACCCUGCUGCACAGCAGAUGCUGAUUCAUCAGGGGAAAGUUCUUAAAGAUGGCACAAC